rnacentral:rRNA from 1 species
CCUACGGGGGGCUGCAGUGAGGAAUAUUGGUCAAUGGACGAGAGUCUGAACCAGCCAAGUAGCGUGAAGGAUGACUGCCCUAUGGGUUGUAAACUUCUUUUAUAUGGGAAUAAAAUGUUCCACGUGUGGGAUUUUGUAUGUACCAUAUGAAUAAGGAUCGGCUAACUCCGUGCCAGCAGCCGCGGUAAUACGGAGGGUCCGAGCGUUAUCCGGAUUUAUUGGGGUUAAAGGGAGCGUAGGUGGAUUGUUAAGUCAGUUGUGAAAGUUUGCGGCUCAACCGUAAAAUUGCAGUUGAAACUGGCAGUCUUGAGUACAGUAGAGGUGGGCGGAAUUCGUGGUGUAGCGGUGAAAUGCUUAGACAUCACGAAGAACUCCGAUUGCGAAGGCAGCUCGCUGGACUGCAACUGACACUGAGGCUCGAAAGUGUGGGUAUCAAACAGGAUUAGAUACCCGAGUAGUC